UACGAAGGGUGCAAGCGUUACUCGGAAUUACUGGGCGUAAAGCGUGCGUAGGUGGUUUGUUAAGUCUGUUGUGAAAGCCCCGGGCUCAACCUGGGAAUGGCAAUGGAUACUGGCAAGCUAGAGUGCGGUAGAGGGUAGUGGAAUUCCCGGUGUAGCGGUGAAAUGCGUAGGAGAUCGGGAGGAACACCAGUGGCGAAGGCGGCUACCUGGACCAGCACUGACACUGAGGCACGAAAGCAUGGGGAGCAAACAGG
rnacentral:rRNA from 1 species